rnacentral:rRNA from 1 species
UACGGGGGGGGCAAGCGUUGUUCGGAAUUACUGGGCGUAAAGGGCGCGUAGGCGGCCUGCUAAGUCGGACGUGAAAUCCCUCGGCUCAACCGAGGAACUGCGUCCGAUACUGGUGGGCUUGAAUCCGGGAGAGGGAUGUGGAAUUCCUGGUGUAGCGGUGAAAUGCGCAGAUAUCAGGAGGAACACCGGUGGCGAAGGCGGCCUUCUGGGCCUGCACUGACGCUCAUGCACGAAAGCGUGGGGAGCAAACAGG